rnacentral:rRNA from 1 species
GUCGAGAAUCUUCCGCAAUGCGCGAAAGCGUGACGGAGCGACACCGCGUGAUGGAUGAAGUCCUUCGGGGCGUAAACAUCUUUUAUAAAGGAGGAAAUUUUUGACGUUACUUUAUGAAUAAGGGGCUCCCAAUCUCGUGCCAGCAGGAGCGGUAAUACGAGAGCCUCAAGCGUUAUCCGGAAUCAUUGGGCGUAAAGGGUGCGUAGGUGGUUUGAUUAGUCUCCCGUUAAAACUUCGAGCUUAACUCGAAAAGAGCGGGGGAAACGGUCAAACUAGAGUAUGUGAGAGGUGUGUGGAACUCAUGGUGUAGGGGUGAAAUCCGUUGAUAUCAUGGGGAACACCAAAGGCGAAGGCAGCACACUGGCACAUCACUGACACUGAGGCACGAAACCUAAGGUAGCGAAUGGGAUUAGAUACCCGUGUAGUCC